GGGCUUGAAGUUUAAGGCGAUCGAUUGGGUUAUGAUGACUAUAAUCUCGCACGGUGACUCGUAAAGUCAAACUUAAAAACAAACGCAAACGAAUAUAGAAUGGCUGCCUAAGCCUAUUAGGUUCCAAAAGAAGUGUAGAGUAAUCUGUUUUCUGUAAGCUUUGAGGAUUGAAAACUGAAACAGUUGAGUGUGGCGGACACGGCAGUGCGCAUAAACCGCCAUUUUUAUAGUUGACUGUCUUAAAGUCUAUUGCGUAAAAAAGAUUAUAGGAUAGUAAUUCAAGACGCGAGUUCGAAUCUCGCCAGGUCCAUCA
rnacentral:tmRNA from 1 species